GGAGAGGUGGCUGAGUGGUCGAAAGCGCAUGUCUGGAGAACAUGUGAGCCGCAAGGUUCCCAGGGUUCGAAUCCCUGCCUCUCCG
rnacentral:tRNA from 1 species